UUCCAGCUGACGAGUCCCAAAUAGGACGAAACGUGUGUCAAACUGGAU
rnacentral:hammerhead_ribozyme from 1 species